UAGUCAGAGAUGUUUUCAAAUCGGUGGGUUCGAAGUUUUGAACCGCGGACGGUCCGCCCCAGAGGCGCGGACAGUCCGCCCAGGGCUCUAACGGUCGACUCUGACACGCAAUCAUUGCAGUUCUAACCAUUGAGUUUGAAUGGCGGACCAUCUAGUUUUUGUGAGGCGAACAGUCCGCGAAAACUCUGUUUCGACGGGUUUUUGAGGUAAUGGCUAGUUUGGGGCUUCCCACUAUAAAUAGAGGUUCUGGCCGGUCAUUUCGUGGUUUUGGCACCCUUGGGACUCAGUGUCCAUGCUUGGGGAGUGAUAGAUAGCCUCUAACUCACUUGUGCUUGCAAAGAGUGUGAUCCAAUUGCGAGUGAGCGAUUCUAGUGCAUUGCAUUGAGAGAUUGCAAGAGUGUGGCACUAGGUGAUCGAGUUGCAAGCUCGUGGAGCUUGUUACUCUUGGAGGUUGCCACCUCCUAGACGGCUUGGUGGUGUGUCUCCGUCGUGAAGCCCGCAAGAAGAUUGUGCAGUGCUUCGGAGAAGUGAUCGUGAGGGGUAUUGUGCUCACCCCGCGGGAGCCGCGAAGAGAAACUCUAGUUGAGCGAGACUUGAAGAGCAACAAGUGGUCCGGCCGGAUCAUGUGCUAGAGCUCGGUGUGAGCACUCCAAAUGGGGGAGUGUGACUUGAGAGUCGCCACUAACAAGAGGAUCGGCGACAACCUUGGAGCUUGUCUCAACAUGGACUAGCUUGGUGGCAACCAAGUGAACCUUGGGAUAAAAUCUUGUGUCUCCCCGUUGGUUUGAUUUUCUUUAUGCAUAAUUUACAGUUGCGGUGAAGUUACUCGAUACAGUGGUGCUUGUGUUUUUAGUACAGGAACUUGGAGAUAUAUAUGAGGAAGUCAAUUCAACCAUCAUCUCCAAGUUUGUCCUGAUUCGGAGCUCUCUAGCCUCACUCUUCAGUUUGGGAGUUCUCUGCUCGGGCAAAACCGGUGGUACCGGAUUUGCAAAACCAGUGGUACCUAUUUUUUCUAGACAUACACAAGCUUGUAUUUACUUACUCAUAUUGUGUUUGUGUAGUUGCUUUUUUAAUUAGUUUUCUUGUGUAGCUUAUAAGUAGCUCUCUUGCGUGACUAAUUGGCUUGAGUAGCCUUGUUAGUCAUUUUGCUUAGUUUGUGUAGCUAAGUAAGUUUGAGCCUUUGGAUUUGGCUUGUGUAGCCUUGUCCGUUGUGCAUCUAGUGAGCUUAGGUUGGCUUUGUGCUUUUGCUCAUUAGAAUAGAGUAGGAGCUCCCCCGGUUUGUGAAGUACUAGUGCUUAUGUGAGCUCUAGCUAGCCCGACACUCCUUUUGCUUUGUGUAGGAUCUUUUGGAGGUGCCUUAGAGUUAUAGUUAGAGUGGUGAAGUCUUGGCUAAGCGAAUAGUUUAAAUUCCCGCACAAAUUUUGGUUAACCGGCGCAAUUAAUUUUAGAAAGGACUAUUCACCCCCCUCUAGUCCGCCAUCUCGACCCUACACUACCAUAUUAUCUAUCUUACCCCUGUUUAUGCACUUAAAUAUCUAAUCGAGAUAAAGUUCAUCAACUAGUUUAUAUCUCUUCAUUCACUGUCUUCCCCGCGGAUUUACUCAUGGGUAAAAUGCUACAACGGUAUUCCGUGCGCUUGCGGAUUUAUGCGUGAUUCAUGAAAUACCUGCCACCCCAAUUGGCGUCUGCGGGCGUCAUCACUGUUUUCCGUAGGUGACGCUGUUAGGCGCCAACAGCGAUCCAAGCUGAGAAGACCUAGUCGGACCAAUUAAAUCAAUGGCAUAAACAAGAUGUCAGUGCAUUUGUACUGGUAUUGACUAAAGAGCCUGUCAAGCAGCAUCUGAGGUCAAGAGACAGUCUUCAAGAUCGGUUGAACCGACGGGCGUUGGUGCAAUGACGUCAGCAGAAGUAGGUAGUUGGAGUUUAACGGUUAGAUCAAAGGCUAGCUGAGGCUCAGUGUGACCAGUUAAAUCAAUGGUCGUGACCAAUUUAACUGACGGGUUCUGCUUUUUGGCAGAACGGCUAGUAACGACUAUGUGGUGCACUCUAGCCUAUAUAUACCCCUCACCUCGGGCCAUUUGAGGUUGCCGGAGUUAAGUCUUUGCCCGUCUGGUUUGGUGUGGUGUGGUGCAGUUGAUGGCUUUGUGCGGGGGUUGUGGAGACCUUCAUCCUCGUGGAGAAUCUUCUUAGCGGAAAGUGGAGUCAAGUUGAUUGGGGAACUUGGCGUUAGCCUUUGUGACAAGUCAAGAUAGUCCUAGAAAGAUCUUGGUGGUCAAAAAGCAAUACUCUUUAGUGAGUGUUUCAACAACAUGGACAAGAGAUGGUUUAGUGCCCACCGAUAACACAGAAUCAAUCCUCGCAGCAAGGGUUUGUUUACUCUCAUCCUUUUCUUUACAUUUCUGCAACUCUUACUUGCAACUUUUGUACCUUUAUAUUCUUAGUGUAGUUUUUUAGAGUUUCACACUAGUUAAACCAUUGUUGUCCAUCCAGAUAGUAUAUUUUAGUUUAUAUUUUGUGCAAAUUAGUUUAAGCCGUAAGUUAAGGUUUUAAAAUUGUCUAAUUCACCUUUCGCCCUCUUAGCCUAUGAGUACCGAUUCCUUUUCAAGGCCACUUUCUCCCAUAGGAACAAAAAUCCGUGGCUGACAUACUGGCUAGUCAAGAAAUCGUUUAUGUUUUGUGCAAACUAGUUUAAGCUCUAUGUUAAGAUUUUAAAAUUGUCUAAUUCACCCUCUCCGUCUCUUAGCCUACGAGUGCCGAUUCCAUUCAAGGCCACUGUCUUCUCCCACAGGAACAAAAAUCCGUGGCUGACAUGCUGCCCUUUAGUCUAGGAGUGCCGAUUCCAUUCAAGGCCACUGUCUUCUCCCACGAGAACAAAAAUCCGUGGCUGACAUGCCCGUGAGUCAAGAAAUCCGUAUGAGGGCACGUACGAGCCGUUUGCAUCGAUCGGCACACUGCAUUUGUCAACUACGGAAGUCCUGUCCAAUGAGAGACGCCGUUUGUUCAUCCGUGCGUGUCGUGGUGGGCAUCUCUUGGAGAAGAUCAGAUGGGCUUUGCGAAAAAAAUAAAGACCAGAUGGGAUUUAUGUCUGUGCCAAGGAUGAUGGCCAGAGAUGCUGCGGAUAAAGCUAUGACAUCAGUAGCAACAGGAUGAGGAAAAUGGGAGUGGACUAGAAGUCCGUCCAUCUAUAUCAGCUACGCAAGAAAUAAUGUAUGCUGCCUAUAUAUAUUAUUGAAAAUAAAAACAUCCGAUCCUUCGUGGCGUUGUACACUUUUUUUUGUUAUAAAAGAAGAGAUCAAGAGACUUGGUUGCAA